UCGAGAAUAUUUCGCAAUGGGCGAAAGCCUGACGAAGCGACGCCGUGUGAACGAAGAAGGCCUUCGGGUUGUAAAGUUCUGUCAUCUAGGAGCAAAUGAUGUGUAAGAAUACUAUGCAUUGUUGAGAGUGCUAGAGGAGGAAGCACUGGCUAACUCCGUGCCAGCAGCUGCGGUAAUACGGAGGGUGCAAGCGUUAAUCGGAAUUACUGGGCGUAAAGGGUGCGUAGGCUGAUAUGUAAGAUAGGUGUGAAAUUUCGGAGCUUAACUUCGAAGCUGCACUUAAGACUGCAAAUCUAGAGGUAUGAUGGGGAAAACGGAAUUCCACGUGUAGCGGUGAAAUGCGUAGAUAUGUGGAAGAACACCUGUGGCGAAAGCGGUUUUCUAAUCUAUACCAGACGCUGAGGCACGAAAGCAAGGGGAUCAAACAGG
rnacentral:rRNA from 1 species